rnacentral:misc_RNA from 1 species
GCAAACUUGGUCAUUUAGAGGAAGUAAAAGUCGUAACAAGGUUUCCGUAGGUGAACCUGCGGAAGGAUCAUUAUCGAACCGAUGUUCCCGGGGCCUUCGGGCUCCCGGAGCAUACCUGAAUUAGAGCGGGCACCGCUGCUGUUAAGCGACAUAGGUUAGCCUUCAAAAGUUAGCCUUUGGCGGUUAAAGCAUCCGUGUCCGUCCUAACGGGUCACCCUUUGUGAAAUACCCUCGUUGCUUCGGCAGCCUUCCCGCCCGCCUUAAAACCGCGGCCGCGGGGGAUCAGCCUGCCGGCGGCACCCAGGAAACUCAUUUGUGAAAAAUGGUACUUCAAUGUCUGAACAGCGCAGUCGAAUGACUAUAAAACUUUCAACAACGGAUCUCUUGGUUCCCGCAUCGAUGAAGAACGCAGC